AUGGCCCCCGCGGCGGCUCCGUCCUCCUUGGCCGUCAGGGCCUCAAGCCCCGCCGCGACACCCACCUCGUACGGCGUCUUCUGCAAGGGGCUCUCCCGCACCCUGCUCGCCUUCUUCGAGCUGGCCUGGCAGCUGCGCAUGAACUUCCCGUACUUCUACGUCGCGGGCUCGGUGAUCCUCAACAUCCGAUUGCAGGUACAUAUUUAG
rnacentral:misc_RNA from 1 species